GAUGAAGAACGUAGCGAAAUGCGAUACUUGGUGUGAAUUGCAGAAUCCCGUGAACCAUCGAGUCUUUGAACGCAAGUUGCGCCCGAAGCCAUUAGGCCGAGGGCACGCCUGCCUGGGCGUCACACGUCGUUGCCCCCCCAUCUACUCCUUCGGGAUUGCGGGGGGCUGAUGAUGGCCUCCCGUGCGCCUCGCCGCGCGGUUGGCAUAAAUGCCAAGUCCUCGGCGACGCACGCCACGACAAUCGGUGGUUGCGAAACCUCGGUUGCCCGUCGUGUGCGGUCGUCGCGCAUCGAGGGCUCGAAAAAAUUGCCGGGUUCCGGCUCGGCUUUCAACGCGACCCCAGGUCAGGCGGGGUUACCCGCUGAAUUUAAGCAUAUCAAUAAGCGGAGGA
rnacentral:misc_RNA from 1 species